rnacentral:lncRNA from 1 species
AUUUGAUAUCACAAAGAGAAAAUACAUAUGAAUUAAUUAGCUGAUAUUCCAAAAUUCAGAAUACAGAACUUGGUAGAGAGAACAAUCUACUCUGAAAAGCAUUUGACCUAAACAAAUUAUUCUCUUUAAAGAUUUACUCCCACUUAUUUGUCCGAUGGAAUUAUAAAAUAAUCACCUUCUAGUUGCUACUCCUGCUACAGUACCAGAGAUGAAAUGCACAGAGAGAGUUUUUGAGGCUUGUGGUUUUAUUGGUUAUUAUUCAACAAUAUCUAGAAGGUCCAAUCAGAUUCGGAAUUCAGUUUUGUAAAUGCUUUAAGGUCACUAUGUGUCCUGAAUUAUUUGCCACAUUUUANAAUAAUCAGCUCCUUCCAGCUUGUUUGGUGGAAGGAAUAACAACUUCAGCAUUAUAACACUGCUUUCCUCCGAAGCUGAACAUAAAUUUUCUUGCUUGGCUUACAGAAAAACUGCAAAGCCCCUUUCCUUAGGAGGAGUGGAACCGCCUGUCAUUCAUGCAGGAGGGCAGAGAGUGGUGAAGAGGAAAGACCUCUGUGUUAUACUAUAUAUAAGGAAGUCAGUCCUGCGGAAGAUAAGAACUCAUAAUUCUGAAGUGCUGAAAGAAAACACUGGCUCUAGGGAACACUCAAAGCCAGAGAGUACAAAGACAGGGAGAAAUAAAAUCUCAGCCCAGACAAACUGGGCACAUCAUCAAGAGGAAGAAGUCUGUAUUUCCUUACCUUCUAACCCACAAAAGUACAAACUGUGAGGCAGCUCCAUGAUGGAGAAAGGAGGAGUCAGUCAGUGAGGACCUGAAAUUCCCAUUAAUUGGGGUCAGAUGUAGAGCAGAAGCUCCAGCCCACUGCCUGUCUUUGUACAUCCCUGGCAUGAAUGUAGAGAGAUGCAGUAUUGGUGCAAAUAGAGAACAAAUCUGUCUGCCUGGGGGUGGAAGCACCAGAAGGAGCAGUAGCAGAAUGUCUGUAAGUAAGGCACCUAGGUGUUGACGGCACCUAGAUUAGCAGGUCAUCCUAGCACAUCUACACAUAGUUUCUUACAGCAUUCAGAUGAGGAUGGAGAGGCAAAUGAUGAUUUUCAAAGGCAGGACAGAAUUAAGAGACUAAUCAGUGUCAACUCCUAGAUACCUAAGACAUGUUCAAAAAAUACAUAUAGUCAUCAUCUUAAGAACAACUCAAAGGAAGUGAUGAAGAUCCAACAGUUGAUAUUCCUCAUCAUUAAUUUCAAAGCAAACAAUCCUGGGCAGAUAAUUUGGACAAAAAUACAUUGGUGGUUAUGAGAAUAUGAGUGUGAAAGUCUGCGAAUUUAUGUUUUACACAAAAAUCACCUCCCUCCCCAUAAGAUGUCGCAAUGAGCUUUGCUACACUGGCUCUACACACUUGCAACAUAAUUUCAUAUGUGGAAUUGAAUACCAGGCACCAGGUCAAAUUCAACUAUCUCCCUCUGUUUUUAUCCCUGU